rnacentral:rRNA from 1 species
GGAGUCUAACAUGUGCGCGAGUCACUGGGACUCGCACUAAACCCAGAGGCGCAGUGAAAGCGGAGGGCCGCCCUCGCCCCCUCGCGGGGCGGGGCGCGCGUUUCCCUCGGGAGGAUGGGCCCGCGAUUCUCUCCCGCCUCCCUUCACGGGGCGGUGGGGGGAGGCGCGGCCCCGCACUCCCGGGGCGCCUCGGCACCAGCCGCAGGCGCACCCGGAGCGCACACGUUGGGACCCGAAAGAUGGUGAACUAUGCCUGGCCAGGACGAAGUCAGGGGAAACCCUGAUGGAGGUCCGCAGCGAUUCUGACGUGCAAAUCGAUCGUCAGAGCUGGGUAUAGGGGCGAAAGACUAAUCGAACCAUCUAGUAGCUGGUUCCCUCCGAAGUUUCCCUCAGGAUAGCUGGCGCUAAUCUGGACGGACGAGUCUCAUCCGGUAAAGCGAAUGAUUAGAGGCCUUGGGGCCGAAACGACCUCAACCUAUUCUCAAACUUUAAAUGGGUGAGAUCUCCGGCUUGCCCGAUCUUAACAAAUCGAAGCCGCGAGAGUUGCACGGAUCAGAGUGCCAAGUGGGCCAAUUUUG